GGCUCGUUGGUCUAGGGGUAUGAUUCCUUCGCUUCGGGUGCAGCGAAAGGUCCGGGUUCAAAUCCCGGACGAGCCC